UGCGCGCGCGCGCCUUGCAUUGCAGGCCGGGAGUCCGGGGAGAGGGUGCGCGCGCACCCCCUGGCUCGGGCUGACGGAUGGGGGCGUGGUGGUGAGGACGGUGUGCGACAUUACACCAGGUAGGUGGCGCUGCUGAGUGAGCGGAGGUUGAAGAGUGGACGAGCUGUGUGUACUUCUCCGUAUAGAGGGGAGCAGAGAGUCUGCACACAUAACAGUCACCCGGGGGGAUUCAAUGUGCAACAGGCGCCGGAGGAGGGAAAACAAGGAGAGGGCUCUACAUCGUCCUCCUCCCCUGGAGGAAGCCGGGAGCGUACACCUCCCUGGGGGAAGAACUGAGAUCAAGUGAUAUUGACAGCACCAUCAGUGAAGAAAGGUCUGAGGGGAAGAUCUCGGGGGGG